rnacentral:tRNA from 1 species
CAGAUAUUAGUUUAUAUAAAAUUUUAAUUUUGGAGAUUAAAGAUAAUAAUUAUUUAUAUCUGA